rnacentral:rRNA from 1 species
UACGUAGGGGGCUAGCGUUGUCCGGAAUCAUUGGGCGUAAAGCGCGCGUAGGCGGUCGGGUAAGUCCGGUGUGAAAGUCAAAGGCUCAACCUUUGAAUGCCGCUGGAUACUGCCUGACUUGAGUCCGGAAGGGGCGAGUGGAAUUCCUGGUGUAGCGGUGAAAUGUGUUGAUAUCGGAAGGAACGCCGGUGGCGAAAGCGACACACUGGAUCUUGUCUGACGCUGAGGCACGAAAGCCAGGGGAGCGAACGGG